rnacentral:rRNA from 1 species
AUACGUAGGGGGCGAGCGUUGUCCGGAAUGAUUGGGCGUAAAGGGCGCGUAGGCGGCCCGGUAAGUCUGGAGUGAAAGUCCUGUUUUUAAGAUGGGACUUGCUUUGGAUACUGUCGGGCUUGAGUGCAGGAGAGGUAAGUGGAAUUCACCGUGUAGCGGUGAAAUGCGUAGAGAUUGGGAGGAACACCAGUGGCGAAGGCGACUUACUGGACUGUAACUGACGCUGAGGCGCGAAAGUGUGGGGAGCAAACAGGAUUAGAUACCCUGGUAGUCCACACUGUAAACGAUGAAUGCUAGGUGUAGGGGGUAUCGACCCCUUCUGUGCCGCAGUCAACACAAUAAGCAUUCCGCCUGGGGAGUACAGCCGCAAGGUUGAAACUCAAAGGAAUUGACGGGG